rnacentral:rRNA from 1 species
UACGUAGGGUGCGAGCGUUGUCCGGAAUUAUUGGGCGUAAAGAGCUCGUAGGCGGCUUGUCGCGUCGGCUGCGAAAACCCAGGGCUCAACUCUGGGCCUGCAUUCGAUACGGGCAGACUAGAGUACGGCAGGGGAGACUGGAAUUCCUGGUGUAGCGGUGAAAUGCGCAGAUAUCAGGAGGAACACCGGUGGCGAAGGCGGGUCUCUGGGCCGAAACUGACGCUGAGGAGCGAAAGCGUGGGGAGCGAACAGG